CCUACGGGAGGCAGCAGUGGGGGAUAUUGCACAAUGGGGGGAACCCUGAUGCAGCGACGCCGCGUGGGUGAAGGAGCGUUUCGGCGCGUAAAGCCCUAUCGGCAGGGACGAAAAUGACGGUACCUGGGGAGGAAGCUCCGGCUAACUACGUGCCAGCAGCCGCGGUAAUACGUAGGGGGCAAGCGUUGUCCGGAAUUACUGGGUGUAAAGGGAGCGUAGGCGGGGAUGCAAGUUGGGUGUAAAAACUAUCGGCUCAACCGAUAGUCGCACUCAAAACUGCAGCUCUUGAGUGCAGUAGAGGCAGGCGGAAUUCCUGGUGUAGCGGUGAAAUGCGUAGAUAUUAGGAGGAACACCAGUGGCGAAGGCGGCCUGCUGGGCUUUUACUGACGCUGAGGCUCGAAAGUGUGGGGAGCAAACAGGAUUAGAUACCCUGGUAGUC
rnacentral:rRNA from 1 species